rnacentral:rRNA from 1 species
GAUGAACGCUAGCGAUAGGCUUAACACAUGCAAGUCGAGGGGCAGCAUGGUCUUAGCUUGCUGAGACUGAUGGCGACCGGCGCACGGGUGCGUAGCGCGUAUGCAACUUGCCUCACAGAGGGGGAUAACCCGUCGAAAGACGGACUAAUACCGCGUACACUUGGAGGGAGGCAUCUCCCAUCAAGGAAAAGAAAUUCGCUGUGAGAUAGGCAUGCGUCCCAUUAGCUAGUUGGUGAGGUAACGGCUCACCAAGGAAACGAUGGGUAGGGGAACUGAGAGGUUGAACCCCCACACUGGUACUGAGACACGGACCAGACUCCUACGGGAGGCAGCAGUGAGGAAUAUUGGUCAAUGGGCGAGAGCCUGAACCAGCCAAGUCGCGUGAAGGAUGACUGUCUUAUGGAUUGUAAACUUCUUUUGUAGGGGAAUAAAGAACGGUACGUGUACCGUAGUGAAUGUACCCUACGAAUAAGCAUCGGCUAACUCCGUGCCAGCCGCCGCUGUAA